rnacentral:rRNA from 1 species
AUUGAACGCUGGCGGCAGGCUUAACACAUGCAAGUCGAGCGAGCUGCGGACGGGUGAGUAAUGUCUGGGAAACUGCCUGAUGUAGGGGGAUCCCUACUAGAAACUGUAGCUUAUACCGCAUACCAUCAGAUGUGCCCGGUUGUGCUUUGCUAGUGGGUGGUGUAAUGGCUCACCUAGGCGACGAUCCCUAGCUGGGCUGAGAGGAUGACAAGCCAAAUUGGAACGUAGACACGGUUCAGAGUGUUACGAGAGGGAGCAGUGGGGAAUAUUGAACAACGGUCGGAAGCCUGAUGCAGCUACGCGGCGGGUAUGAAGAAGGCCUUCGGGUUGUAAAGUACUUUCAGCGGGGAGGCGUUACCCGCAGAAGAAGCACCGGCUAACUCCGUGCCAGCAGCUGCGGUAAUUC